rnacentral:rRNA from 1 species
UAUGUGAUCGUCUCUCGCAUAUCAAUAAGCGGAGGAAAAGAAACUAACAAGGAUUCCCCUAGUAACGGCGAGUGAAGCGGGAAGAGCUCAAAUUUGAAAUCUUAAAGGGUUUCCCUUUACGAAUUGUAGUUUAAAGAAGUGUUUUCUGUUGAGGUUUUGGUAAAAGUUCUUUGGAAUAGGACAUCAUAGAGGGUGAGAAUCCCGUAUUUGACCUUUACUUUCAACUUUGUGAUACACUUUCAAAGAGUCGGAUUGUUUGGGAAUGCAGUCCAAAAUGGGUGGUAAAUUUCAUCUAAAGCUAAAUAUUGGCGAGAGACCGAUAGCGAACAAGUACCGUGAGGGAAAGAUGAAAAGAACCUUGAAAAGAGAGUUAAACAGUACGUGAAAUUGUCAAAAGGGAAGCGUUUGACACCAGUGUUGUUUUUCUGAAAAUCAAUUAAAGAACUGUUUAUGCUAAGUUGUUUAGACUUUAUCAGCUAACUGUUUAGUUUUGAGCUUUUCUUUAAUGCACUUUUCAGUUAACAAGUCAACAUCAAUUUCUUUUGCUGUAAAAAAGCUUGAGGAAGGUGGCUUGAGAUUCGUCUUAAGUGUUUAUAGCCUCUUGCCUAUGCAGUCGGAGAGAUUGAGGUCUGCAGCGUAGAUCCUUCGGGGCUAAAUGCAUUUGUGCUAAGUUAUAGCAUUUUAUAGACAACUUGUUGACUAUGAUUUGUCUUGUAGCUUACUCGCUUAUGUUAUUUUACCUACGCUUAGGAUGUUGAGUAGCGACAUACGCAC